UUAGAGCCUGUUUGAGCUCCAUUUUUAUUGAAAAAUGUAUUUUGGAAUAGUAGAUAAAAGUUUUGGAUUUGCGUGUAAUAAUAUUUUAUUGAAGAAUGUAGUUAAAAAAAAGGGAGAGAAAAAUGUAUUUUGAAAAUAAUGGGGAUCAAACAAGGGCUUAGAUUGCUCAUUCUCAUUAUUGACCCAACAUAAAAAAAUAGCAUUAUAUAAGACUAUAAAAAAUAUCAGAACAACAUGCAACACACGUUCACAAUGACUACUAUUUUUUAAAAGACUGGUAUCAUGAACAUUGUAAUUCUGCAGCAUGUGUAUGCUAUGCGCCUAUGCUUAACCAUACUUUUGAAUUUAAUGCUGAACAUGGAAAAAGUUGAUAUUUUUGUAUUCAUCUUUAUUUUUCUAUUUGAUUUAUUUGCCUAGUUCCUUUUAGUGACUCCAUAUCUAUUUCACUCGUUUAAUGAAUUUCUUAUUAGUACUUCUGAUCCUAUGCUCGAAGCAGGAACUUCCUGAAUAAUUUUUCCUUUAGUCGCUAAUCGUAUUUAUCGAUUUGUGCUUUCUACAUGUUGACUUCGUUAGUAAACACUUGGGCUGAUCUUGUUUAAAUAAGAUCUUGAGAUUACUCUAUACAGUAACCAAGUUGUCCAAACUGGUUUUGUUUUUGUAUUUCUUCUGUAUCAAAGUUAGAUAAAAAUCCUUGAUCAAGCUAAAAUAUCCUGGUGGUAUUAGCAAAUUUUGGAACAAUUAGCAAAUGAGGGAAAAAAUUGGGUACAAUUUAGGAUUUACUAAUAAAUUAAAUAAAUAUCCUCCGAAAUAUUGAGAAAUAGUUCCAUGAUAAGGUGAAUAUGGCGUGUUUUCUGUGACGAAAUAACAAAACUGCUUGUGCUAAUUAGGUCAUUAGUAUAUACCCUAAACAUUAUUCUGUUGUUUUCGAUCAAAAACUUCCCUUUCGUUCUUAUGUGGUGUUUACUGGUAAUAUGAUUCUAUUAUUGAUGAUUUCUGAGGAUAAUAAUUUUCAUAGCUCUCUUCUCACCUGUCUAUGUGUUCAUUAUUGGUCAUUUUUAUGAAAUUGCUUCGGGACAUCACAGUUGUAGUAAAGAUUUUAUCUAUCCGUGCCAUCUUUAUGACUAGUUUGAAUCAGUUCUAUCACGGCAUCAUCAGAUCCUCAAAUCUAGAAGCUAAUUACCUAAUAAUAUAUUUGUAUAAUACAUCCCCCGCCCCCAUACCUGCUUAAAUUCAUAGUUUGUGGUAGUAAACAGAGAUGGGGAAAUUAUUAGUUAUAUAUGUAUAGAGAUGCACCAUACGAGGAGCCAUAGCAAAGUGCAAGACACAGAGAAGAUGAGAUAUAGUCCCCCAUUUGAGCCCCAUUGUCUAAAAUCUCAUUUUUCACAAAUUCAUUUUCAACCACAUAUUCUCUCAAUAAAAUAAUUUCACACUUGAACCCAAAACUUUUACCAACUUUUUAACUAAACCUUCUCCAAAAAAAAUACUAUUACAGAACUCAUUUUUUAACACAAAAUGAAGUCUCAGACAAAAGCAUAGUAAUGUACUAUUGCAUAUAUUUGUUGCAGAUAAGUGCUUCGCAAGCUACUGUUUCGAGGUCCCUCUCAGUACCUGGGAGGAAUAUUGUUAUUGUAAGGUCAUCAUCUUUUGCUACCCGUGAAAAUCAGGAUCCAGACGCUGACAGUGGUAUGUCACUUGCAUAUGUAUCUGGUGAUCUAAUUUCCUCUUUGAGCUUUCUUUGAUCACCAAUCAAAUCUUUAUGGAAAAUACUCUGUAACUUGGCUGAAUCGCUUCAUUAUCCUAAUUGGCGUUUCCCUAACUCAGAAAAAAAUAUCUGAAUGAUAAAAGCCCAUGCUAGUUAUUAGUCAUACUUCAUAUUGUAUAACAAUAAUAAUAAAGGAAAAUAUAUCUAGCCUCUAGGAACAAAAUAUACAUAGGAGGCUUUAAGAGUGCACACCCCUGUUUAUUGUACCCCUGUUUGUUGUAGUUAAAAAAUCAUAUAUUUAGUAGAUUUUAAAAAGUAAAUGAAAUGUGCAGUUAAGAAGUUGAUAAAAGUUGUGAGUCUCAUGAAAUGUAUGGUUUAGAUUAAUGGUUGACUUUGACUUAGCAUUUUAUCAAAAUUUUAAUCCACACCAAACGGAAGUUAAGACAAGGUUUUUGAAAGUUUUGAUACGUUGGAUUGAGCAUGUUUCCUAGACUUGCAUUUUAUAUGGAAAUGUAAACCAUAGCCCUUGUUUGAGCCCCAUUUUAUCAAAAACUCAUUUUUUCAAAACUCAUUUUCAUCACAUAUUCUCCAAUAAAUAUAAUUUUACACGUAACCGAAAACAUUUUCUUAUUUUUUCACCACAUUCUCCAAAAAAACACUAUUCCAAAAUACAUUUUCCUCCAAAAUGGGGCUCAAACAAGGGCAUUGUUGGAUAACUUAAUCUCUUCUUACUUUCCAGUAAGCAAAAGUACUUUUCUGAGAGUGAAUCUUAAUAAGUUAUUUACAGAAAAAUGUAUACUUUGACCAACUUGACCGAUAAAAGUAGAUUUACGUUAAAACAAACUUGUAUAGGGCAUCCUUGGCAGGGAUUCUGCUUUUGUUUUUUUGUAGAUGAACUCUUGAGAAAGAUGCAUUGGAUCAAGUUGCUUUUAAAGCUCUUCUAACCAAGAAAGUGCUUCCAAACAAUUAUUCAAACAGACACAAUAGCUACUAUUGAAUCUCAGAAGCAGCUUUUGGCUUUCCAAGAGCCCGGGCAAAUGAGCCUUUACUUAUAACUGAACUUUUUAAGCUUAGAAAAACAUGCUUUUAGUCUGCAAACCAAUAUAAUUGUCUUGUAAAUGAUAUGAUAACUGGAUAUAAGUCUAAAAUAGCCUGUUAUAAUUCUGAAUAAUUGGAUUUUGUAAAUUAUAUCUUUUUACAUUUGCUUUGUGGAAAAUUAGAUCAAAUUACUCCUGAUCCUGUCCACGAGGAUCAAGAGAUUCCUGAAGAAGAAGCUAUCUGCAGGAUCUGUUUCGAUACCUGUGACGAAAGAAAUACACUCAAGAUGGAGUGCUGCUGUAAAGGUGCACUCCGACUCGUUCAUGAAAAUUGUGCAAUCAAAUGGUUUAGCAUAAAAGGAAACAAAUUAUGUGACGUAUGUGGUAAAGAAGUUUCAAAUUUACCGGUGACUUUGCUUCGGGUGCCAAAUACUCAAAGAGAUAACAGGGAGCAGAACCAACAGGGUCUGAAUGCGACAAGGUGAUCGUUAUUUUUUAUUUUUUUUCUAAAUCUCUCUCUCUCCAUCCGAAUUUAUUGAUUUUUCUUUUGAACUGUGCUCAAUUCUUCGUUAAGCCUUUUCUCUGUGUGCACUGUCUACAAAUGUAUUGGUCAUUGAUCCAAUCAAAAAUAAAAAGAAGAGUGCAAAAAAUCACUGGUUCAACCUUUAGCACAUGCCCUUGGAAGCUGAAAAUUUUAUUUUGGAUUGUAGUUUAUUCUCUGUAGUUUUCAUUCCUAGAUCAUGUAACAAGGGGAACAUUGGUCAAAAGUUGUUCUCUUGAACUCAUUUCAUUUCUGGGUCAUCUACAGUCAGUCUUGAUAAUCGAAUCGCUGCUGUCAUGGAGAAUUGAAAUAUCAGUUCAAGAAUAGAAUAGAAAUCUGAUAGUGCUCGUGAAUUUUUGUGUUUCAACUCUCAUGUCUCUUUCUUUUAUCUCUUUUUGUUUCUUUCUUCAGGUGUUUAAAUUGAACUUACAAAAAUAGUUUUGGCAUGUUUUUCAGUGCUUGGCAAGACUUUGUGGUGCUCGUCUUGAUAAGCACAAUUUGCUAUUUCUUCUUCCUUGAGCAGCUACUGGUAAGUUAUCAGGCAAUGGAACGCUGUCAGAACCAUCACCACAUUGUUACGCCAGUUCCACCACCUUCCGACAGACCCGUCGUCACCAACAUCUCACCAUUACCAACUCAACUACUACCACGAUCGCCACCACCAAAAUAUGGAAGCGGCUACCACCAUCACUCCAACAACCAAAAGCAAUCCUUACUAAAUCAACCACUUGUACCACCAUCGAAUCGCACUGCAACCUCUAGAUCCACCCUCAUCACCACAAUCAUGCAUAUCCGUCACCACUACUCAAUUGAGCUGCAACAGUGUCUUUGCAAAAGCACUGUUGCUUCAGAGUGACGCCUUUCAGUUGUGGGGUCUUGAGUGCGGUUGUGAGUGUCUUCGCAGCGAUCACAACCCACCACCUCAUAGCAACUACCAAAUCCACCAGCAUCCCCACAACUGCACAGAUAUGUCACCACCAACCAUCCGGGCUACAGCAGCGGCAAUGCUGCUUUAGAGUGACGCCUCUCUAUGGUAGCGUCUUGAGCGCGGUUGUGAGCAUCUUCGCAACAAUCGCAGCAGUAGUGGUGUCUUCACAAUGGUGACGUCUUCAUGAGAGAAGAGAUAAGCAUAGAGACAGAGGAGGGGGGAAAUUAAUUAGGAUUUGUGAUGAAAUUUGUAUAAUAAAAUUUAAUAUUUAAGUAUUAAAUAUCUGAUUUUUAAAUAAUGAAACAUUCACCUGAUUUCAGAAUAUUGAUCUUUUAGAGUAUGGUGGAAUGUAAUUUUCACAAAAAAUAAUUAAAUAAGAAGAGCCCAUUGGCCCUCUCUUUAUAUUUUUUUUAUUACAUUUUAUUUAUUUUUAGAAAAAUCGGGUUUUCAAUCAAUAAAGACCAAUUUUUCUUCAACAUUUUUUACACAAACCUAUCCCCAUUUUCAAGGCUUUCACUUUGCAUUUCUUCUUCCUUUUACAGACUGCGUAUUUAUCAAAACCAAAUUGUUCCUAAAGCAAUUGAUUCCCCACACAUUUUGAUAUGCAAAUUGAGUAUUAUAGUUGUAUUGACAAGGGGGGGAAAAAAAAGGGACAGAGUGAAAGUGAAUGUAGUGCAAGAAAAUGGAUUAGUUAGGGUAUCAAGUCAUUCGAAUCAUGCUAUAAUGUCAGAAUAAUUAAUAUAAUAUUACAUGACAGUCUAUUAUUAGACUGUUUAAAACACAAUCAUACUUUUUAUUCAAUCAUUUCCCAUCACCUAGGAUUUUGGCAUUGUUUCUAACAUUAUUCUUCGAUCAAAGUGAUUUAACCCAUGUCAUUAUUGAUUGUGAAAUCGUAACAUCUCGUUGAAAAGAGAUUAUGCGAGUAUGAAGUGGUAAAACUAAAAAGUUGGACAGUCAAACAGGGAGAAGGUGAUGCACAAUGAAGAUAGAAAAUAAGAAUGACAAGAACAAGAGUAUAUUAGAAUUAUUACGAAAAUUGAGGUUUAUUUAAAAAUUUAUGAAAGAAGGAGAGUAUUAUUUUUCCUCUCCAACUGAAUGAGGCAAUUUCCUACAAGUUUACUCCCAACUAAUUGAAGGACUUGUAGGUCCAACUAUGUAUUGGCAUUAUUGUGGAAUUCUUCUUAAGAAAGCAAUAAUGCAAAAUGAUAGGAAAGGUUGGUGAAUAGUCUAGCCCAUGUUUGGCCCCCAUUAUUUUUUAUUUCAUUACAUUUUAUUUUUCUCUUUCUUAUUUUCAAUCACACAAUCUUUUAUAAAAUAAUUUACACGUAAAUCGAAAUUUUUUCUUUCUUUUUUAACCACUUAUUUUUUCAAAAAAACAUUAUUUCACUCAUUUUCAUUAUCAUAAAAUGGGGCCUAAUCUUUUCUUUGUAACAAAAAAACACCUUACAGCGCGAAAUUCAGGAUUACACGCAUAAGCGGCAAGGGAACAGCAACGUGACGUGGGGCCAAACCACGUCACGUCACCUGACCUGACCUUCCGUUUAUCUUCCAAGUAAAAAUCAAGAAGAAAACCCUCACUUUCCGUAGUCUUGCUUUUAUAGAAGAUAAAUUUAGCAUUUUCUUUGGAUGAUUAAAUCUUAUUCUGGGUUUGGUUUUGUGAAUUAUUUGAUUUUUUGUUUGGAUUUUUGAUUUAGAAUAAAGAAAUGGAAAAACCCAGAACAGAAGAUGCGGUGGAUAAUGCCAUAUCAGAGGAUAAACCUAUGGACUCAUCCUCGACAUCAUCAUCACAGGUUAGAAUAUUUAUUGAGGUUCUAUGGUCUUUUUGAAUGAAAUUUCUCUGAAAAUUGUGAUUUUGAGCUGAGUUUGCGGAAAGAUGGGUUCUUUGCUGCUGACAUUUUUAACUUGAACAAUUUUUUGUGCUACUAUGAGUGAAAAAAAUAUUGUAUGUUUGAAGGACCCGUCCUCUUUUGUUUGAUAAAUUGUUCUGCAUUGCAAUUGCAUACCUUCAUUUUUUUUUUAAUCUCAAAUAAAGAAAACAUCAACAAAGAUGGAGAUUAUGGACAUGUUGUGCAGGUGGGUGAUAGUAUGGAUUUUACUUUUUCUUGGUUGAUGAUUUAGUAGCAUAAUUCAUUUGAUGGUUGUUUUAUGUGUAUGAUUGGUGAUGCAUGAUAUAAUGAGAUUUUAUAUCGUGUUAGUAAAUUCUUUCCAUGUUUGAAGGAGUUUCCACUAAAUUUACUAAUUCUGAUCAAUCUAAGUAUACAUGCUUAUGCAAAUUUUGGUGGCAUAGCCUACUGCACCAUAUGGAUCCUGGAUUUUGGUGAAAAGUUGGGAUCUAGUACUAAACUGAAUGGAGUGGAGGUAUAUGUUUCAUGUAGCAGACUACAAAUUUAUUGGGGACAAUGACUUUUUCUUUUAAUCAAAUUAUAUAUGCUUUGUCAAAAAGAAAAGCCAAAAGAAACCAUAUUUCAUGUUUGUACUGGUGAUACUUUUGUUUCUAUGCACGUGUUUUAGAGUUUUUGCAGUCGUGUUACAUUAAGUAUAUAUUUUUUUUGUUAAAAGUACGUGCAUUCUCCUUGUUGAUAUUCAGUAUUAGUCGCUCAGUUGUAUGUAUGAUUCAUAAACUUUAAUUUGACAUAAAUAAAGUAGUAUUCUAAAAAAGGUAAAUUUCUCACACGAAUCUAAAUUUCACAUUUGAUACUAGUGACUUUUAUGAGUGCAUUUAUGUUAAUAAUCUUUGUGUUAUGAACAAAUAAUUGUGGACCUCGUCUUUUUCUUCCUUGACUCGCCUUAUGAUGUUCUAACAUUAUUUAAAGUUUGUUGAUUCCACAUGUUUCUUAAUCACAUGUUAAAACCAAGCUGUUCACUAAAUUGGACAAAUCAAAAUUAUACCUCACCUUUGCCGUGAGAAAAAAUAAUGAACAUCUCAACCUGCUUAAAGAUCUUUCGCAUCUUAAUAAACUGCUUGAACUUGACAACUUAUCCAAGUCCAUUUUCAAAUUCCGUGAAAAUGGGAAACUAUCAAAAGGUAACACUACAUUUGAAUACGUUUUGUUUAUCUUAUAAUUAAUACAGUGUCCCAUUAGAUCCUUUUGCACUUCAUCCUUCUUGUCGCUUGACUGAUAGAGACCAGACAGCACAAUUACUAUUUUAAAAUUUUCGAUUAGAUGCUUAUUGUUACCACUAUGUGGGUCAGAUUUUUCUUUUAAAGCUCUAAUGUUAAUUCUGUUAUCUAGUUUAUUUACCACGCUGCUCAUUGUGAAUCUUAUGUUGGCAACAAAUUGUUCACGGCAUGUAGGUUGAUUCUCAAAAUAGGGAGUCCAGGAAUAUGAUUAUGAAUUCGAGCCGAAUUGCAAAAAGUUCAGAUCUAACCCUUCAAAUACCUCCAAGGCCCGGGGGUUUUGGGAGCAGCCGUAGCGGCAAAGGUUUACUCCAGUCUCCAAGUGUCGUAAAUGGAAAUUCUUCAGGUGGAGGCUUUCUUCGGGCUCUAAGCUUUAAGAAGAGGACCACUGCAUCAGAUGGCGAAAGAAGCUCUCUCCUGAGUUCAGAUCCUAAGGCUGAAAGCCCCCUUUUUGCCAAUCUCAUGCCCAAAUUUAAUUGGAAAAGGUGUACUUCCCUUCCUGUCACUCAUGCAGCAGUUCUGUCACCUCAAGUUAUUACACCUACAUCAGCAAGGACUCUAAGCGAAAGGCAAAAGUCACACGUAAUUUAGUGCCUAAACUCCAACUUUAAUUACUAGCAAUUAUAUCUCUCAUUUUGGAUGCUAUAUAUUCUCGCGUAGAAGUCUGAUUCAAAUCUAUAGUAUAUUAUCACAUGACAUGAUAUCAUUUUUUGAACAAUAUUAUCCAAGUGAUAUUUUGACUAUUUCAGUAAUACUCUUUUGAGCUAUUAACUUAUUCAUUGAUUAUAUUAUUAAUUUAUUCAUUGAUUUCUCCCCUUUAUCUCCAUUCAAAAUUAUCAGCAUCAUUAAACCCAAUAUUCACAUACUUAAUAGAUUCAUUGAUACAUAUGUCAGUUGAAUUGCCUAUUUGCAUCUUCACGAUUUAUACAAGUUCAAUUGAUAUAGGGAGGUAUCAUGAAAGAGAAUCAAAACCCAAACCUCCCUCUCCCUCUAUCACACAUGCAUGUGCCCCAAUUCCAAGUUGAGAAUUCUUGAUCCCAAAAAUCAUGCAAUUCUUUACCAUCCAAACAUCCUAGGCAGAGUAACCAAGUAACUCUAGAAAAAAACAAUAUCCCUUUAUUCAACACCAUCUUCCUCUUUUUAAUGUCUUUUUACGGUAUAUACUUUAUUUUUAUUUUUUUUCGCUACAAUUCUUUUUCCCUGUAAUGGUUCCCAUAAAGUAUUUCUUUAUUUAUUCCAUUAGAACUAGAAAUGUACUGUCACUGAUAUUUUAAUUUUAUGCCUUUAUGUAUAUAUAUUUUUUAAUCUGCUAUUCCCAUCUAAUUAAAAUAAUUAAAUGAUAGAAACUGGAUUUAUACUUUGACUAAUUGCAUAUAGAAAGCCUAUGUAGCACAGACACUCUAAUUAGGGUAGCGUGUCCGUGUCCGACACGUGUCGGAUACGUGUCGAUACCGACACUCUUCGGACACUCUACAAUAAUCAUUUUCCUUUUUUAAUAUAACUAUUAUAUAUUUUUAACUCAAAGUUUUUAAUAAAUAACAAAUAAGUACUUAUAUUUAAAAGAUUUUAACAAAAAAGAAUCAAUAAUAAGUAUAAGACUAAAUUUAAACUAUAUAAAUGAAGAAUUUUAAAAAUUUAAUGAACGUGUCGACGACGUGUCGUGUCGGUACUUUUUUGAAAAAUCACGAGUCGACGUAUCCGAUACGUAUCGUGUCGGACACACGUGUCCGUGUCGGUGCAUCAUAGUAGAAAGCUAUCGAGGAGUUGAGUUUUGAGUAUUCAAUCGUCAACUUCAAAACUUUAAUGGAUUUCACCUUUUAGCUACCUUCAUUUCUAUUAGUUUUGGACAUCAUAAUAAAUAAAAUGUUCUGAUAUAUAUGCUUUACCUGAUCUCCUUUCUGAUGAAAGUUGAAAAUUGGUAUUCAGUCGAAACUAUGUUGGAAUGAAUGGAGGAUUGACUGUGUUAGGUAAAAAGCUAAGCAGAGUACAAAUAAACUGUAAGGAAGCAAGACUACUAUAUUCUAAGCUUUGGCUAGGCAGAAGGAAGCUAAAAAUGAUAGAGUAGAAAGUAGAAACUUAAGAGUCCAAGUGGUGUCAGAUCAUGGUUUUCAGGAGUUGGAUAAUUAUGCUUGAUAGUUGACUAUUUUGAAUUGAAUCAAAUAUUCUGAACCUUAUUCAUUAAGCACGUGGAUCUGACCUUUUCAUUAAGCAUGUGGAUCUUUAGUUAUGUCAUUAUAAGACAAGUGUAAAGUGGUUGAACCAGCUUUAUUACUAGACGAAAUCAAUUUAAUAAUUCUGUCUUUCCCAAUCAAAUGUUUCUCAAAUCAAUUUUAAUGAUUCUUAGUCUUUCCAAUCAAAUGUUUCUCAAAUUCUAGACUAUGAAUUAAUCUUUAAGUUAUUGUUUCUGCAAUUCUGAUUACAUUUAAAAAAAAUAAAUUGUUUGAUUAUAUGUUUAGAGCCUGUUUGAGCUCCAUUUUUAUUGAAAAAUGUAUUUUGGAAUAGUAGAUAAAAGUUUUGGAUUUGCGUGUAAUAAUAUUUUAUUGAAGAAUGUAGUUAAAAAAAAGGGAGAGAAAAAUGUAUUUUGAAAAUAAUGGGGAUCAAACAAGGGCUUAGAUUGCUCAUUCUCAUUAUUGACCCAACAUAAAAAAAUAGCAUUAUAUAAGACUUCAUAAAAAAUAUCAGAACAACAUGCAACACACGUUCACAAUGACUACUAUUUUUUAAAAGACUGGUAUCAUGAACUUUGUAAUUCUGCAGCAUGUGUAUGCUAUGCGCCUAUGCUUAACCAUACUUUUGAAUUUAAUGCUGAACAUGGAAAAAGUUGAUAUUUUUGUAUUCAUCUUUAUUUUUCUAUUUGAUUUAUUUGCCUAGUUCCUUUUAGUGACUCCAUAUCUAUUUCACUCGUUUAAUGAAUUUCUUAUUAGUACUUCUGAUCCUAUGCUCGAAGCAGGAACUUCCUGAAUAAUUUUUCCUUUAGUCGCUAAUCGUAUUUAUCGAUUUGUGCUUUCUACAUGUUGACUUUGUUAGUAAACACUUGGGCUGAUCUUGUUUAAAUAAGAUCUUGAGAUUACUCUAUACAGUAACCAAGUUGUCCAAACUGGUUUUGUUUUUGUAUUUCUUCUGUAUCAAAGUUAGAUAAAAAUCCUUGAUCAAGCUAAAAUAUCCUGGUGGUAUUAGCAAAUUUUGGAACAAUUAGCAAAUGAGGGAAAAAAUUGGGUACAAUUUAGGAUUUACUAAUAAAUUAAAUAAAUAUCCUCCGAAAUAUUGAGAAAUAGUUCCAUGAUAAGGUGAAUAUGGCGUGUUUUCUGUGACGAAAUAACAAAACUGCUUGUGCUAAUUAGGUCAUUAGUAUAUACCCUAAACGUUAUUCUGUUGUUUUCGAUCAAAAACUUCCCUUUCGUUCUUAUGUGGUGUUUACCGGUAAUAUGAUUCUAUUAUUGAUGAUUUCUGAGGAUAAUAAUUUUCAUAGCUCUCUUCUCACCUGUCUAUGUGUUCAUUAUUGGUCAUUUUUAUGAAAUUGCUUCGGGACAUCACAGUUGUAGUAAAGAUUUUAUCUAUCCGUGCCAUCUUUAUGAUUAGUUUGAAUCAGUUCUAUCACGGCAUCAUCAGAUCCUCAAAUCUAGAAGCUAAUUACCUAAUAAUAUAUUUGUAUAAUACAUCCCCCGCCCCCAUACCUGCUUAAAUUCAUAGUUUGUGGUAGUAAACAGAGAUGGGGAAAUUAUUAGUUAUAUAUGUAUAGAGAUGCACCAUAUGAGGAGCCAUAGCAAAGUGCAAGACACAGAGAAGAUGAGAUAUAGUCCCCCAUUUGAGCCCCAUUGUCUAAAAUCUCAUUUUUCACAAAUUCAUUUUCAACCACAUAUUCUCUCAAUAAAAUAAUUUCACACUUGAACCCAAAACUUUUACGAACUUUUUAACUAAACCUUCUCCAAAAAAAAUACUAUUACAGAACUCAUUUUUUAACACAAAAUGAAGUCUCAGACAGAAG
rnacentral:lncRNA from 1 species